rnacentral:misc_RNA from 1 species
UCCGGCUUAUCACCGGCAGUCCCUCCAGAGUGCCCAGCCGAACUGAUGGCAACUGAAGGCGAGGGUUGCGCUCGUUGCGGGACUUAACCCAACAUCUCACGACACGAGCUGACGACAGCCAUGCACCACCUGUGAUCCUGCCCACAAGGGGAAACCGUGUUUCCACGGCGGUCAGGAGCAUGUCAAACCCAGGUAAGGUUCUUCGCGUUGCGUCGAAUUAAACCACAUGCUCCGCUGCUUGUGCGGGUCCCCGUCAAUUCCUUUGAGUUUUAACCUUGCGGCCGUAGUCCCCAGGCGGAGCACUUAAUGCGUUAGCGUCGGCACCGCGGGGGUCAAUACCCACGACACCUAGUGCUCAUCGUUUACAGCGUGGACUAC